rnacentral:rRNA from 1 species
ACCAGACUCCUACGGGAGGCAGCAGUGGGGAAUAUUGGGCAAUGGGGGAAACCCUGACCCAGCGACGCCGCGUGAGGGAAGAAGGUUUUCGGAUUGUAAACCUCUGUCCUUGGUGACGAUAAUGACGGUAGCCAAGGAGGAAGCCACGGCUAACUACGUGCCAGCAGCCGCGGUAAUACGGAGGAUGCGAGCGUUAUCCGGAUUUAUUGGGUUUAAAGGGUGCGCAGGCGGCGUGUCAAGUCAGCGGUAAAAUGUCGGGGCUCAACCCCGGCCGGCCGUUGAAACUGGCGUGCUCGAGUUGGAGAGAAGUAUGCGGAAUUCGUGGUGUAGCGGUGAAAUGCAUAGAUAUCACGAAGAACCCCGAUUGCGAAGGCAGCAUACCGGCGCCCGACUGACGCUGAGGCACGAAAGCGUGGGGAUCGAACAGGAUUAGAUACCCUCGUAU